CCACCCACGGGGGGCAGGGGGCUGUGAAUCUUGAGAAAGAGAAAUGGGUCAUAGAAAAACCUGGACCCAGAUAAUGUGGUCAAAGAGCUGGUUGGCUCAGAAAAGAGCGGGGGCAGAAACGAACGAUCUUGCUUCACAAAGGGACCUGUGAUGAAAGCGGCUGAUUUAUAGUUACCCCGAGGGCAAAACUGAGAGCCGGACUUGAGCUCAACGGAGAGCUGGCGUUUCCAAGACUGAGACCUGUGUGACAACACGGUAUCCCCCCACACCCACGAGCCAGUCGCUGCGGAAUACAUCCCGGCAGAGUUCAGAGAGGCUUUGUGAGGGACCGUGAUACUAAACUUAACGAACGGAGCAACGAUCAAGUAUCACCUGCCUCGCUCGCAAAUCCUUCAUAGGUUGAUCGUCCCAGAGGCAGUCCAGUAACCCAAACUGACCGGUAGGAAUUAGAUCUGCAACUAUCAGAAAACGUGGGGACCGUGUGUUUGUAAGUCGUCUCAGCUGGAAGCCACUGUGUCGAAAGAAUCUGAAAGAGAAUGAGUCAACCCAAGGCAGUGAAGAUGCUCACCAACGCCUGGGCCUGCUUUCCGGGAACCCUGGACAUCUGUACUCUUAUCUCCGAAGCUACUUCCUUGUUUGUUUGUUUUGAGACAAGUUCUCGUUAUGUAGUCCUACAUCGACUAACCUGCUGCGUAGAUCGGGCUAGUACAGAACACACGGAUCCGCCUGCCUCUGCCUCCCAAGCGCCGGGAUUAAAAGUGAACAGUCCCACGCUACCUGGCCCAGCUACCUGCCUUCGAUUGUGCAAGCAGAAUUCCCACACCUAACUCAAAAAGGCAAGGAUUUCUCUCUCUGUCUCUGUUUCUGUUUCUGUCUGUCUGUCUCUCUGUCUCUGUCUCUGUCUCUCUCUCUCUCUCUCCUCCCCUCACUCUUCUUCCUCCAGGUAACUGCCUAGAUUAACAGUUUGCCUGCCCUGCAGUUUCCCUUUUUUAAUUUAUAAUAAAUUUUUCCUUGAGUUUA